CACGGGGGGAGCAAGCGUUGUUCGGAAUCACUGGGCGUAAAGGGCGUGUAGGCGGUCAGGUAAGUGGGAUGUGAAAUGCCCCGGCUCACCCGGGGACCGGCAUCCCAUACUGCUUGGCUUGAGUACGGGAGAGGAUGUGGGAAUUCCUGGUGUAGCGGUGAAAUGCGUAGAUAUCAGGAGGAACUCCGGUGGCGAAGGCGCACAUCUGGCCCGAUACUGACGCUGAGACGCGAAAGCGUGGGGAGCGAACAGG
rnacentral:rRNA from 1 species